rnacentral:tRNA from 1 species
GGGGCGUUAGCUCAGUCGGUAGAGCAUCGGACUUUUAAUCCGCUGGUCGACGGUUCGACUCCGUCACGCCCCA